UGUGGCCACGUUCCUGGAGGCCCUAGAAGGUUCACUACUGGGAUUGACUCUAUUGACAGUAUUUUCUACAAUUACCUCAUCUAUUUUGGAAAUUCCCCGCUGACAACAUCAACAACUAGAAUUCAACCGGUAACUACAAUUCCCUGAUGAUUUUGGUCUAGAAUUUCAUGGAUUACGGCUUCUGAGUCUCGUGAGGGGUCAAAUGAAACGUUUACAGGAUUACCCUGAAUCCAGUUUUCGACUGACCGCAGAAUCGAACACGAAAACGAGGUGACCAGUUGGAAAUCUACACAUACGGGAAUAGUCGGGAGCGUCAAUUCAACGGAGUGAGCGGUGGAAUAAAUUCAGUGAAAUCCGUUGGGUGAAGGAGUAAACUCGAAAUCAUUAGAGAUUGCCACUGGCGAUGCACAGCAAACGUGCUUUUCCCCCAAAAUUCGCUUCUCGUUUUGACGAUUAACAGAAUGUCGGUAGUUUCCCCUAAAGAGAGACUGAAAAUCCUGGCAUUCGUAAUUCUCGCAAUUUACUGUAGACACAGGAGUAGAGGAAUGUCCCAUCGACUGGGGGACUACAGACCAUCACCAUCAUACCAUCCAGUUUAUUAUCCUGAAAGCCUCCAGGCACUUGAAUCCAUGGCAACUAAAUAAGAGACACUGAAAUCUCAUCUUGCGAAUACCACUCAAUUUACGGGGGUUUUUUCACCACUUGGCUUUCAUAUCGUCCAAUUUGUUGAGGCAUAUCUGCACUUAAUGCCACUCGAUUACAAACCCUCGAGGAUUUGCCUCUGGUAGUCGCUAUAUUCGAUUAUCCGACGGUCUCUAGCAUUCAGUUAUCGGAAAACUCGCAUGGAAAAUCCGGAUAUUUCCAAAUCAUGCCGUCACUUCAAUUAAUUCACUCGAGGAUUUUUCAGGGUAGAGCCAACAGAUCUCACGUGAUCGGAGAUUGUUGAAAUUUUUUUUCUGAAUUUUCCAGAAAGAAAUUUCUAAUUUAAUUGAAACGGAAAAAUCCGUGGAAUUAUCCGAUGAUUAAUUCGCCGCGUCUAGUUUUCCAGGAAAUCUUUUCUGCAGGUUUCACUCCACUUUGCAAAACAGAUUCGUUUGAAACUUUAAACAAUUUUCAAGGAUCAAGGCCGAUGAGUUCAGCUGAUUUCGAAAAUCAUCGGUCCUUUCCGGGUCAACAGGCAGGUCUAGUAAAAUCACCGAAAAUCAACGCGAAUUAGUAUCAAGCGAACAGUCGUAUAGUACCUUCAGGAUAAAAUUCAUCUCUGUAUUCGAUAUAGUACACUCAAAAAUGGAGUAUCCCGUAGAGUCUAUAGACGCGUUCAGUACAUCAACGUCUAUUAUCUCUGCAAUAUAAAUUCCAGUAAAAGAAAAUCACUUUAUUGUUUAACAAUUCAAUCAGUGACUCAACAGUGCAAAUCAAAUAGACAAUCAAUUUAAUUCAGUACGAUCACCCAGAGACAAAGUGUUUGCAGAAUUGUCUACGCGUGGUUCGACCCCGCGAAUAAAUUAGCAUUCAUAUAUGAUGGAGACUCUCUAUAAUUAUUUCACACCGUCGAUCCUCUAAACUUCCAAUCCACCAGAAAUCUAGGUCUUCAUCAAACAAGAUUCUCAGAACAAUCCCCGAUCUCUCUCAGACUCAGAGAUAUUCUCAAAAUGAUUCGUUAACUAAAUCAACUGUUGCCCUUUCUGUUCGCAGCGAUGAAAUAAAAUUCUCUCGAUUCCUCACGCGUAUUUUUUCACUCGACAUAAAAUAUCUCUCUUUAUCACGAGCUGCUGAUACGUGAAAUGACACCGAUACCUCGAUACGCGUUUUCACGUGCGAAUAUUCUUAUUGUUGAGCACUUGCAUACCUCACACGAGGCGUGAUUCAAGUGGAAAGAUGAACCCUGAUGUAAUGCCAACGAUAAAUCGGGCGAAUAGUCGAAUAGGGGGUUGCAACCAGAGGGCAAACCAGCUGGAGGUACUCGAAUAUAUCGAUAUCUAUUCGAGUCACGUAGACGGAGUCGAUCGUCAGGGUAUCACGAGACCCUGCCACGGGGAAGUUGGGCUUUUCGACUCAACUCCAUCCCCUUCCAGAGAUCCUCUUGAUUUCUCCACUUUUAUUUCUACGAUACAGUUAUGCCAGACGCAAACCCCAUGGGCUGGGGUCCAAGGCACCCCAUUAUGGUACAUAUUUAAUGGAUCGCUCAGCUGGGAAAUCGCAAGACGAUCUGCUAACGAAUAUUAUUUCUGACUCGUUCACUAUUUCUACUAUCAACUCACUAAUAAUCAUUAUUUUACCUAUACUAUUCCUGUUUCUUGAUAAUUUUA